AAUUAUCAUACUUCAAAUAAUCAAUUCCCCACGAAGCAAAAGUCAUAGCAUCCUGCUCCUCAUGGCCAAGUGAACCCGGCAUUGUUUUGCUACAUGUAAAAUACCCUGCAUCUGCGUAAAUUCCUAAUUUAAGACCUUUGCUGUGAACAUAGUCUGCCAGCGCUUUAAUGCCAGAUGGAAAUGUAGCGUUCUUAGGCACUAGCCUUCCCUCUUCAUCACGAGCUAUUUCUGCCCAGCAAUCAUCAAUGUUAAC
rnacentral:misc_RNA from 1 species